CUGAUUGAACGCUGGAACGCUUCUCGUUUCGACAGUCUGCACCACCAGAUAAUAUUAUAUUACUGAGAACACCAAUUCAAGGACAAGGUCGGCAGUUAUUAAACAAGACCAUUGUUGCUGAACUGAUCUCACUAUGAUCUUCCUUCAGUCAUCGGGUGGGUGUUAUUGCGCAAAAGUACGAGGAAUUUAAAGAUACACUCGACGCACCCCAGAAAGAUGUUUGCCAUCUACACAUCCGAUAACACGAGGGAACUGUCCUAUUUGGAAAAGCUCGUCCUUAAUUCUUUGAGUCUCGGCGUUAUUUGGAAAUUUCACAAAGUCAUCUAUUUUCUGUGCUAGGGAAGUGGAUACACGGUGGAUCGAUCUGCAAGAUGUAGAUUGUGAUAUAUGUAGAAGAUCGCUAACAAUGAUAUGAAAUGUUCCAGACACAGUAUUGCAAAGCUAUGAGGACUUGCUGAUAGGGUAGACGGUAGUUUCGUCUUGUUUCGUGUUCAAUGUCCACGGAAACACGAUCCCUCAAACUACGUUCCCGUCGCAUUAUUCGUCGUAACUCCGCCAACUGCAACAUUCUACGUGCCAUCUUGACUGCACGACGUAAUACAAACAAGUUAGCAGCUUGCUAAUGAGUUAGAGGCACUCCCGAUCGACUCUAGACUUAGCGAGCAACUUAGAAGCUUGCUACCGUUAGAAGGGUUUUAUGAAUAACACUUAGCAACAAACUGGAGUUAGAAGCCAGUUUAACAAGUAACUAGGCUUAGCAAGCUUUUGUGAAUUUGGCCCCCGUUGUUUUUGCGUCGCCAGUAAAACUCAAUAUGCGACAGUAAAACCAACAUUAACAACCGCAAAU